rnacentral:rRNA from 1 species
GACGAACGCUGGCGGCGUGCUUAACACAUGCAAGUCGAGCGGAGCGGCGAACGGGUGAGUAACGCGUGAGUAACUGCCCCCCUCUCUGGGAUAACAGUUGGAAACGGCUGCUAAUACCGGAUAGUCUAAGAUGUCUCGCGUCCCCUUAGCUAGUUGGGGAGGUAACGGCCCACCAAGGCGACGAUGGGUAGCCGGCCUGAGAGGGUGAACGGCCACAGUGGACUGAGAAACGGUCCAAACUCCUACGGGAGGCAGUAGUGGGGAAUAUUGCGCAAUGGGGGAAACCCGGAUGCAGCAACGCCGCGUGCGGGAGGACGGCCUUCGGGUUGUAAACCGCUUUCAGCCAUGACGCGGUAGUGGCAGAAGAAGCACCGGCUAACUACGUGCCAGCAGCCGCGGUAAUAC